rnacentral:lncRNA from 1 species
CGAGACGUCGGAGGCAGGGGGCGGAGGGCGACGCGCGUGGAGAGGCCCUGAGCCGCAGCGCUACGGCGGCCCGGCGGGUCUCGCCGCCUCCUGCGUUCGUCUGCAGGGCGGCGUGGGGCGUGGCGGGCGCCCUGCGGCUCCGAAACUAGCCCGAGGUGCUGCUCCCGGCGGUGCAGCGACAGAACCAGAGACCGUGGGUUCUGCCUCUGCUCCGGCCGGAUAGUAAGACUUCCUGGCUGCUCUGCACCUGCUUUUUGGAGAUCCGCCUAUGGGAGCACAGUCUUUCAGUUCCAAGGUCACCAAAACACCCUGGCUCAAUCUCAACUACGCCGGGUUUCCACCUGCCGCGCCGGAUUUAAAACUCCGUUCCCAGGCACACGAAAUUGCUGUUGGGACCGAGCCUUCCGAUUGCCCCAGCGAGGAUUCUCUGUUGGGAAAAUCCUUUUCAAAGAAAAAUGUGAGCCUGUGACUAUGCUGCAGCACUGAUGAAAAGGUACUUUCAAAUGAAUAUACACAAAUUGCAACUAAGGAAAGAAAUAAGAAAACAAUGGUUAAGAGCAUGUGAAAACUUUAGCAUGUGAUAAAAGUAGAUUUAUAUUUACUUCCAC